AUGAGAAGGCCGCCGCCGCCACCGGAGCAAGCCCUCGCACCACCCGCCAGAUCCCUCCCUCACCUUGCGCCCCUUCUCCUUCUCCUUUCUUCCUCUGUUUCCUCUCUCCCUGAGGCCCUUAUCUCUCCUUCUCUGGAUGAGCAGGACGCCGCUGGCACCGGAACAAGCCGCCGCACCAGCCGCCAGUCAACGCCGCGCCCGGAUCUGCCCGUCUUCCUCGCGCCGCCACCGCGCCUCGCGUCACCCGCCGGCCGCCUUCCCGUUCCCGCAGGGAUCAGGACUGGCUCUACUAUCUGCAGGCAAGAAUAUGAUGUUGGCUUGCUAAUGUUUAGGGGAAGAGAGUAG
rnacentral:rRNA from 1 species